rnacentral:rRNA from 1 species
AAUGACGAUUUAGUGACUGAGUGGCGGACGGGUGAGUAACGCGUGGGUAACCUGCCUUAUACAGGGGGAUAACAGUUAGAGAUGACUGCUAAUACCGCAUAAGCGCACAGGAUUGCAUGAUCUGGUGUGAAAAACUCCGGUGGUAUAAGAUGGACCCGCGUCUGAUCAGCUGGUUGGUGAGGUAACGGCCCACCAGGGCGACGAUCAGUAGCCGGACUGAGAGGUUGAACGGCCACAUUGGGACUGAGAUACGGCCCAGACUCC